rnacentral:rRNA from 1 species
AAUCUGCCUUGGGGUCGGGGACAACCACUGGAAACGGUGGCUAAUACCGGAUAAGCCUUUGGGUAAAAAAUUUAUUGCCCCAAGAGGAGCUCGCGUCUGAUUAGCUAGUUGGUGAGGUAAAAGCUCACCAAGGCAGCGAUCAGUAGCUGGUCUGAGAGGACGAUCAGCCACACUGGGACUGAGACACGGCCCAGACUCCUACGGGAGGCAGCAGUGGGGAAUUUUCCGCAAUGGGCGAAAGCCUGACGGAGCAAGACCGCGUGAGGGAGGAAGGCUCUUGGGUUGUAAACCUCUUUUCUCAGGGAAGAAGCUCUGACGGUACCUGAGGAAUCAGCCUCGGCUAACUCCGUGCCAGCAGCCGCGGUAAUACGGAGGAGGCAAGCGUUAUCCGGAAUUAUUGGGCGUAAAGCGUCCGCAGGUGGCGAUUCAAGUCUGCUGUCAAAGCACGGGGCUUAACUCCGUUAAGGCAGUGGAAACUGAAUAGCUAGAGUGCCGUAGGGGUAGAGGGAAUUCCCGGUGUAGCGGUGAAAUGCGUAGAGAUCGGGAAGAACAUCGGUGGCGAAAGCGCUCUACUGGACGGCAACUGACACUCAGGGACGAAAGCUAGGGGAGCGAAUGGGAUUAGAUACCCCAGUAGUCCUAGCUGUAAACGAUGGAUACUAGGUGUAGCUUGUAUCGACCCGAGCUGUGCCGAAGCUAACGCGUUAAGUAUCCCGGCCUGGGGAGUACGCACGCAAGUGUGAAACUGCAAAGGGAAUUGACGGGGGCCCGCACAACGUGGAGUAUUGUUAAUUGAUGCAACGCGAAGAACCUUACCAGGGCUUGACAUGUCCGGAAUCCCGGUGAAAGCUGGGAGUGCCUUCGGGAGCCGGAACACAGGUGGUGCAUGGCUGUCGUCAGCUCGUGUCGUGAG